UUUAUCUCUCUAUCUCUUUCAUUUUGAUUCUGAUCCGAUCGUUUGUGAAGGUGGUUUGACUGUGCUUCCCGUUGCUUUCUAGAAACGAAUGCAAUGUUUUAGGUGCGUUGGUUCAUUUGUUUCUCUAUUUUCUGUUUGGUCAGGAAGAAAUUUUUUCAAUUAAUUGUUGUAAGAUUCCUGCCUCUUCUGCUUCCUGAUUCUGUCUCUUUGUUAUUUGGCUUGCUAGAAUUUGUGGUUUUGUCCGUUAAUCUUGAAAAAAAUUUGGCCUAAGCGGAGGAACCAAUUCAGGUCUCAGUCAUGCUCCCUUCAAUUGCAGUUUUGUUGACUUCUAUUCAUGAAAUACAUGAUACAAAUCUCUAAGCUGCCCGGCGCAGCAUAUUGGCCUCUCUCCAUAAAAAUCUCCCCUUUUUUUUGUUUUUUUUUUUGUCAUCAAUCAAGGAUUUUGAUUCAGACCCGGCAAACCCAUUUGGGUUUUGAUUCGAAUCUCAUCGAAAUCAAAAUGUGGGACAAAAUUGAAUGAAAUGGGUUUUGAAUUUUGCCUCUUUUUUUUUCUUUAUACUUUAAAAAAAAAAUAAUAAUUUAUGUUUCCUGGGUUGGUGGGGAAUGUGAAAGCUUUAUGGUUGAGUAAUUUUAGCUUUGGGAUUAAGAUUUUUCUUUAAAGUGUGUGUGGGAUCUGCUUUGGUUUCAAGUUAUGAACAAACUGUUGUUUUGGGUACGUAGUUCUCUCCUGCUCUGUGUCUUUGUAACCUUUGGUUUCAUAUGUAGUUAAUUAUAUAUAUAGGUUGUUGCUGAGAAGAAAUGGAGGGAAGUGGGAGGUGUUUUCAUGUUCUCCCCAACAACAAGCGCUUCGUUUGAGCUGAGGAAACAUUACUCAACCCUUCUCUACCAUUACAAACAGGAAAUGAGUUCAACCAUGGAUUUGUAUACAUUGAAGUCCACGUCAGAUUUGCCUGCUCUCUUUCGAUCAUCAUUUAUUUUUAGGUAAUAUCCUUGCCAUUGGAGUUUUGUUACUGGUAUUAAUUAGGGUUUUGUUCCUGAUAUUAUUUGGGUUUGGUGUUAGUGGGGAUGGUAGUGUCCCGCUAAGUUAGCCGUUUGUGGCUCACCGGAAAACCUCUUGGUUGGGCUUUAUCAGGAGGGAACUCAUAAUGUAGUAGAUAUUCCUCAGUCCAAGUAUUAACGCUGUUGUGGAGCUGCUUAAACAAGGUAUUACGGAACUACGAGUUGAGCCGUAUGACGAAGAUGAGGGGACUGGUGAUUUGGAAUGUUCAGGUUUUACAGAACUCCUUUGUAUAAUCUUCAGAUGGCUGUGACAACACACAAUACUUCCCAUCCCGCUUCUGAAAGAUAUAGGAAUGAUUUCUUUUGAACCUUGCGGAAUCUUCUAUUUAGAUGCUCCAUCAUCAUCAGUUUGUCUGCUAUUCCAGUUAGAGAAGCAUGCCACAGAAGAAAGCAGGCUUACACCUCCAGUUUAUUCACGCAAAGAACCAGUGUGAUGAUUUUGCAUUGACGUGAAAUCAUUUGGCUUUGGAAGGAUUGUGCUGUCCAACAUUAUACACAUACAAAAGAAUGGGUAACCUCUUUCUUCUAAUAUAUAAAGAACAUAGGUGUAGAGUUGAAUCUAAGGUCCUAGAAUCACAGAUGUAUUCCCAAAUCAGUGUGAAAAUGAUCUAAGGUCCUGGAAUCACAGAUGUAUUCCCAAAUCAGUGUGAAAAUGAUGAAGCAAUGAUUACAGAUGCCUACGCUAAUUUUUUGGUAAACAUAUCAUAUCAAAAGGUUAGAUUUAUUAACCAAAUGUAAAGGGAGAUGGUAGAGAUCCCUGACAUUUGUAUCAAAAAGUUAGAUUUAUUAACCAAAUUAUUAGUUCAUUUCUUGCAUCUUAAUAUGUAUCUAAAACUUGCAAAUAUCCCAGUGGCGAAGCUAUGUGAGGGCGAGGAGUGGCAACCGCCACUCCCCUCGCCGGAAAACACGUCUAGGACCGUUGGUUCAGCCCCUCCGCUCUCGUCGGAAUUCAUGGCCAGGGGCGGAUGAAGAGCAGCAGCAAGAGGCGGUCCAUUCAAAGACCUGGGUGGUCCUGGGACCCUCCGAAAGUCUAGAAAAUUGGCUCUGAGGACCAUGGAGGACCACUCGACGGUCUGGCAUGUGGUGGAUAAGAGGUAUCGGCGACGGCUGCAACCUGCAAUCAGUACAGCUUGCAGAUGGAGAACGAAGAAGAAGAUUGCUUUUUAAAAUGGCCAAAACGACUCGUUUUGAGUCAAUACAAUUUAAAAGAUACACGUGACCAUCUUAAACAAUCCACGUGACUCUCCCUUUUAGAUAAUCUAAACCUUAUUUUCUUUAAGACCCUAAUACCCAAAGCCCAAAGCCAAAUCUCUAUUUCAUCCUAUACCAAUUUCAUCCCAACCGACCAACCCUCCACCACCAUCACCUAAUUUCUUAAUUUCUGUUUUUUAUUUUUGCUAAU